AAAGCACCCUUUUCAAGUAAGAGAACACUGGCCCAAUGUUCAGCUUUCCUGCCUUCAUAAGAGACCCCACCUCCCGGGUCAGGAGAUGAGGCGGGAUGUCAGGGCUGUGCGUCGCAGCAGCCGGGCCUCCUGUGCGGGACAAAUGGGCAACGUGGUCCCCUUGCAGGCUGCUGCCUUCCUUCGGGACUCCUGCUGCAUUAGCAAAAUCAAUGAAGGGGAGAAGAAAGGGAGGCGCAAUCCCAGCCAACCUUUCCC
rnacentral:lncRNA from 1 species